rnacentral:rRNA from 1 species
UACGAGGGGGGCAAGCGUUGUUCGGAAUUAUUGGGCGUAAAGGGCGCGUAGGCGGUGCGGUAAGUCACCUGUGAAAACUCUGGGCUCAACUCAGAGCCUGCAGGCGAAACUGCCGUGCUGGAGUGUGGGAGAGGUGCGUGGAAUUCCUGGUGUAGCGGUGAAAUGCGUAGAUAUCAGGAGGAACACCGGUGGUGUAGACGGCUUACUGGACCAUAACUGACGCUGAGACACGAAAGCGUGGGUGGCAAACAGG